rnacentral:antisense_RNA from 2 species
CUUUAUGGUGGCCAUGCACAGGGUGCCUUCGGGCGCGCCGGUCUCCUUGCAUCCCGGUCUACCAACCUGCGUAUGGCCACCACCCUA